CCUACGGGGGGCAGCAGUGGGGAAUAUUGGGCAAUGGGCGCAAGCCUGACCCAGCAACGCCGCGUGAAGGAAGAAUGCUUUCGGGUUGUAAACUUCUUUUCUGAGGGACGAAGAAAGUGACGGUACCUCAGGAAUAAGCCACGGCUAACUACGUGCCAGCAGCCGCGGUAAUACUUAGGUGGCAAGCGUUAUCCGGAUUUAUUGGGUGUAAAGGGCGUGUAGGAGGGAAAGCAAGUGCGAUGUGAAAACUCAGGGGUUAACCCUGAGCCUGCAUUUGAAACUGGUGUUCUUGAGUGCUGGAGAGGCAAUCGGAAUUCCGUGUGUAGCGGGGAAAUGCGUAGAUAGACGGAGGAACACCAGUGGCGAAGGCGGAUUGCUAGACAGUAACUGACGCUGAGGCGCGAAAGCGUGGGGAGCAAACAGGAUUAGAUACCCCUGUAGUC
rnacentral:rRNA from 1 species